rnacentral:rRNA from 1 species
CCUACGGGAGGCAGCAGUGGAGAAUAUUUGGCAAUGGGCGCAAGCCUGACCCAGCAACGCCGCGUGAAGGAAGAAGGCUCUCGGGUUGUAAACUUCUUGUCAGAGGGAAGCGCAGAAGACGGUACCUCUUGCAUAAGCCACGGCUAACUACGUGCCAGCAGCCGCGGUAAUACGUAGGUGGCAAGCGUUGUCCGGAUUUACUGGGUGUAAAGGGCGUGUAGCCGGGCUGACAAGUCAGUUGUGAAAUCCCGUGGCUUAACCACGGAACGGCAUAUGAAACUGGCGGUCUUGAGUAUCGGAGAGGCAGCCGGAAUUCUCAGUGUAGCGGUGAAAUGCGUAGAUAUUAGGAGGAACACUAGUGGCGAAGGCGGCCUGCUGGACGACAACUGACGGUGAGGCGCGAAGGCGUGGGGAGCAAACGGGAUUAGAUACCCUGGUAGUC